GCGGUGAAAUUGCGUAGAGAUGUGGAGGAACACCAGUGGCGAAGGCGACUCUCUGGUCUGUAACUGACGCUGAGGAGCGAAAGCGUGGGGAGCGAACAGGAUUAGAUACCCUGGUAGUCCACGCCGUAAACGAUGAGUGCUAAGUGUUAGGGGGUUUCCGCCCCUUAGUGCUGCAGCUAACGCAUUAAGCACUCCGCCUGGGGAGUACGGUCGCAAGACUGAAACUCAAAGGAAUUGACGGGGGCCCGCACAAGCGGUGGAGCAUGUGGUUUAAUUCGAAGCAACGCGAAGAACCUUACCAGGUCUUGACAUCCUCUGACAACCCUAGAGAUAGGGCUUUCCCUUCGGGGACAGAGUGACAGGUGGUGCAUGGUUGUCGUCAGCUCGUGUCGUGAGAUGUUGGGUUAAGUCCCGCAACGAGCGCAACCCUUGAUCUUAGUUGCCAGCAUUCAGUUGGGCACUCUAAGGUGACUGCCGGUGACAAACCGGAGGAAGGUGGGGAUGACGUCAAAUCAUCAUGCCCCUUAUGACCUGGGCUACACACGUGCUACAAUGGAC
rnacentral:rRNA from 1 species